rnacentral:rRNA from 1 species
GACGAACGCUGGCGGCGUGCCUAACACAUGCAAGUCGAACGGAACUGUUUUGAAAGAUUUCUUCGGAAUGAAUUUGAUUUAGUUUAGUGGCGGACGGGUGAGUAACGCGUGAGUAACCUGCCUUCAAGAGGGGAAUAACAUUCUGAAAAGAAUGCUAAUACCGCAUGACAUAUCGGAACCACAUGGUUUUGAUAUCAAAGAUUUUAUCGCUUGAAGAUGGACUCGCGUCCGAUUAGUUAGUUGGUGAGGUAACGGCUCACCAAGACCGCGAUCGGUAGCCGGACUGAGAGGUUGGACGGCCACAUUGGGACUGAGACACGGCCCAGACUCCUACGGGAGGCAGCAGUGGGGGAUAUUGCGCAAUGGGGGCAACCCUGACGCAGCAACGCCGCGUGAAGGAUGAAGGUUUUCGGAUUGUAAACUUCUUUUAUUAAGGACGAAAAAUGACGGUACUUAAUGAAUAAGCUCCGGCUAACUACGUG